GCAAAAAAAUGGGAAAGAAAAAAGGAAGUCGCUUCAACCCAGCCGGUAGGACGGUAAGACACCGCCGGGCGGAAGUGACGCGCGGAGAGGGUGCGAGCCAUUUGAGCAAGAGGCGCCGCUCUAGCAACUCUGGAUUUUUUGUGUGAGGCUGAAACUGUUGGAGCCUUCCUGCUACCAUCCUUGAGAAUGGAGCAACCACACAGGGCUGAGAUACUCUCCUCCUGCCUUUGGACAUCAGAACUCCAGGCUCUCCAGACUUGGAACGCCAGGACUCACAACAGUGGCCUCCCAGGUUGGAAGAAUCACAAGAUUAGGUGACGGCUAGUGCAGAGAGGACCAUAAAACCAUUUCCAGCGUCCUCUCACCUUGAAGUUUAUGGGCAAUUGCAGAUACUCAUUGUGGACAAGAAAGAAAAUCAGGGAUGAUCAGGCAAUUUAUAGCCACUGCUCAGCCACAGACUGUAUGUGUCUUUGAUGAAAUGUUCAUAGUAUUUUGGUAAAGUAACAGUUUUAACAAAAUAAGCGUUAAUAUUUCCUAUACUUAUGAAAAAAAGAUGUUUCUGCCUAUGACUAGGGACAAAUACAGCAAUAGGAUUUACUUGUUCAAUGAGACUGAGGUUUCUAGGAAUUUGCGUGGUUAAUGCUACUAGAAAAUUCAGUUCCCAAGUGUCAAAGAGUCAGCUUCCUAAAAAGGUGAGUCAAUUUGUGAAACCUUAGAGAAUCACUGGGAAAUAGUCAAACUCUUAGAGCAUGAAAAAUCCACUGAGCUGUUUUACUUGCUUUACUCCUUUAAAAAAUGGAAUGCAAAUAUUUCCCCCUUGCAUCCAAGGAGAGGAAAUGAGUGAAAACCACAUAGAUGCAAAUUAUUGUCAGGGUUCUAGUUUCAUGUUAGAUGGUGGUUUUAACAAUGUGUAUUACAUUAUUGUUGUUA